rnacentral:lncRNA from 1 species
CACAGUGGAGUCUUUUGAGGGUGCUUUUCUCCUGCUUGAAGAGCCAGGUAACAUAUGUACAGCAUCAUAGGCAUAGGCUCUUGUGACCUUUUCUUAAAUUCCAGUGUCCUUCAGCAGGUUUAGGUGUAUACCUUUGUAGGAGGUAAAGGCUUGUUAAAACUGUCACAUCACAAGAACAUAAUUGCCCUUUAGAUGGGAGACUGGCUGUUAAACUGUGUCUAAAGGGGAAAAUUAUAAAAUGAAAAUGCCUUAUUCCCACAGGACUUCUUACAGUUGAUCCCAAUAAAAGGCUGAAAAUGUCUGGCUUGAGAUACAAUGAAUGGCUUCAGGAUGGCAGUCAGCUGUCCUCCAAUCCUCUGAUGACUCCAGACAUUCUGGGAUCUUCAGGAGCCGCUGUGCACACCUGUGUGAAAGCAACCUUUCAUGCCUUUAACAAAUACAAGAGAGAAGGGUUUUGCCUUCAGAAUGUGGACAAGGCCCCUUUGGCUAAGAGAAGGAAGAUGAAGAGGACAAGCACCAGCACAGAGACACGCAGCAGCUCCAGCGAGAGCUCCCGCUCAUCCUCUUCCCAUUCCCAUGGCAAAACAACACCCACCAAGACGCUGCAGCCCGGCAACCCUACAGACAGCAGUAACCCAGACACCCUCUUCCAGUUCUCGGACUGAGUGCUGUGGGAAUGGUAGGAUGUCUUGGCUGACCCUUGCACCUUAGUUCCCUCAGCAUGUGCCUGAG